GUUGGCUAUCAACUGCCAGGCAGGCAGCCUGCCUUGAAGAGUAGCUGUUUCCCCAGAUUCCCUGAGGCCCAUGGGGAGGCAUUUGAUGAAGACGUCACUUAGGGAUGAGUGUUCCAAGCAAAGAAGUUAAUUCUCCUCACCAAGGGCAAAGGAAUAAUCCCACCAGCAUCCACAGGAGUUGGAGUAGCCAACCAAGGGCUUCUCUGCAACUUUUUGAAUCCAGUGUGCAGGAAAUCUCUCUGUUAGGAGACCCAUUGCCCACUUCCUCUGAGCUUGAUGCUUCUGAGCCAGGAGAGGAAAGUCACAGGAGCAGAAGCUGGCUAAGGUCCUGUGGGCUGUGGUCCCACUGGUCUCUUGGGGAGCAUGCACACAGCAACAACUGCUUUGAGUGAACCACAUAAGGCCCCAGCCCUGGACAUAGCUCCAGUAAAGACGUGUGUCAGGACACUACCUGGUGCAGACUUCCAGCUCCUGUCUGCAAUCCUGCAUUUGUCAAUCACAUCCAUUCGUGCAUGGUCUCCUGAAAUAAUUAUCAGCUGGCAAGAUGACUCCAUGGGAUGUGAACACACCCCCUCGCCCCAAAUUCUCACAUCUGCUGCUUUGUAUACAUGUUGGGAAGAGCCAGUGAGAUUCUAGGGGUGCACUGUGCAGUAGUAGAUGAAGCAAGAGAUACCUGUGGCCACUGAGGAUGGACUGUCACAGAUAAGGCUCUAGCUGCAUCCUCCCUGCCAACAUGUGUCCAUUGUAUUUAAUACAUCAAUGACAACAAAUUUAUGUUGCUAAGCUCAAAAAAAAAAGGAAAGAAGCAAACCCCACCGAGAGCCUCCCUGGACUGCCCUUGUAGACACUGACCAAGCAAGGAAGAAUUCUGCUGUCUUCACAAGGAGCUGCAGCAUUUACCUGUUGAGUUUGCAUGUGUUGACGCAGAUAUGUACGGAUACAAGAAGGGUCACAGAACAUGAACCUUCAUGGGCACCAUCUUUUAGUGGCUGCACAGUACUUUAUUUUUUAACAACGUAUGGAGAAAAUAGGAGUAUCCUCAAGUUUCCUGCUUCUCUGGAACAAGUCUACCCUAAGCAACCAACUAGACUCUGUCUUCAAUAGCCUCUUCUUCACACCGGAGGGACCAAGCACUGCCUGGCUGUAGAACUUACAGGUGUGAGAGUCUAGGUGGUGCAGGAGGAUACAAGUGUCCUCUCUGCUGAGAGGAGAGGUCAUGGAGGAUCAGCAAGAGGCCGCUUCCUUAAGACCAUCAGAGCUUAAGAUCACCUUCCCAUCCUCCACCUACCAUAGUCAGCUAAAGGAACUGUGCAGGCACCUCCUUCUUCCAUGGUGGAGGUAAAGAAGAAGCAGGUGGAGAGCCAACCACAAAGGAUCAUUAGCCCCAUAAGACAACACACAUCAGGAAGGCUGCUCUGGAAACAGAGGCGCUAGAGAUAGACCAAGUUUGCAGCUCCUGCUGAAAUACGACUUGACAGCGGCCGCAUUAAAGAUGUAUGCCAUUGUAUUCAACAAAGAUUAAUGAAGCCCGGUAAAAAUAGCUGUAAAAGAGAAAGUGAUCCGAAUGUAAAAUCAGUGAAUUAAAUGAGGCCGCGCAUACCAUUUGUUAAUAUGCAUGAGGAGGGAGGCAGCGAAUGAAACUGUCUCUAUGCAAAGUUCAUUUGAGAAUGUUUCAAUAUUGUCUGGAUAUCUCCCAACUAUUGAUGAAACCUAGUGGAGCCAGGUUUCCACACAGACGGGGUGUCCCCA